UCACUCAAUAGCCAUUGUCAAUGUUAAUAUUUAUAGUUCACUAUGUAGCAUUGCAUGCAGGCUGUACAUCAAUAUAUCUGUCUCUUUAUCUAUCUCUCUCAUUCUCUUUAUCAGGUAGGCUAGUAGUGUGGUUGAUGGUUGGAUACAGUACUGAAUGGUUAAGUGAUGAUGGCUAGUAGUUAUCAUGUUGAUGGUCAUGCUGAAUGAUUAAGUGCUUCCAUCUAGAGCAGGAGAGAAAAUAAAUACUAAUAAUUGUUCUAUAAAGAUUUAGAAAACAUGUACACGUAAUGUAAAAUGUUAUUUAUUUAAGUAAACAUGUUAAACAUGUUUUCAUAUGAAAUUAUUAACAUAUAUCGCUUUUAUACUUACAAGAAUAACAAAUGGACAUGUUAAUAAAACAGCAACAAUGUCAUUUAAUGAGGUCUACCAGCCUGAAUUUGAUUAGAUACUGAUAACAGUGUGACCUGCAGUUGGACACAGACAGAGGGCAGAAGAGUACUGAGAGGACACACACACACUGCAUGCCACAUGCAGGCAUGCACAAACACACACACAUACACACACACACACACACGUAAAGUUCCCCUUUUAAACAUCUGAUAAAGAUGCAGAUAUAGAUUUCCUCCACCACUUCUGAAUAACUCCUCACACUGAUGUCACACAGAGACAGCAUACAUAGAAAAACAGGUCCUUAUAUGGCCAUCGAUGGCUGGUCACAGAGUACAAGCCAUAACGUGACCUCCUUAUGAAGGCUGGGAUGUCAAAGCCUCAGUAAUGCUCUAAGAUCUAUGUCCAAUUUUUUAUCUGCUAAAAUAGAUGAUCACUUCAAUUAUAUCUUAAAUCAUUUAAAACGGAUGGGAAACAACCAUGUUUAGAUUAGAAACUAAGGCUGGUGCAAGUCACGUGGUGGCCAGUGUUGUGUUGAUUUGACAGUUUCCCCUUCACUGUGGUUGACUGACAAAGAGAUUCACUACCAUAAGUCACACAGAGGCAGUACAGUCCAGGGAGAAGAAAGGUACAGACGUACAUUAGAGCUGAGGUUAGAAGUAGAAGUUACUGUAUUUGACAACAAGUGUGUUAAGAUGUCAGAGAGAGUCUAUGAAAACUCAGACAGAUUUGAAGAUGACGAGCCUGAUGCAAUGAAGAACACAGACAUUGAUGGCCAAUUAUAUGCCAACAUAAGAGCCUUCAAGCCUAGUCCAAGAGAUGGAGUUGUUGCUUCAGUUCAUGUUCAGUGGUGGAAGAGACCCUCUGGAGUUGCUGCAGUGUGUCUGGGGCUGCUGUGUGUUCUCCUACUGGCUGGGAUCAUAGGCCUGUCUGUCUACUUCAUUGGUCAUCGCGACUCAAAAGAGAGAGACCAGCUACAGGCCAGUUACAACACCCUGACUGAAGAGAGAGACCAGCUAGAGACCAGUUACA